AAACUGUAAUACUGGUUUACUGUUUACUAAUACUAGAACAUUCGUUGUGUUAAGUCACGUAAAACUUUGUAGCAGUUUAGUAUUUGGCGUAAAUGAAUAAGGAUAUAAAGAUUAAAAAUGAGUUUUGAAGAGUUCUUUAAAGAUAUUGAUUGUCUUACUGUGGCUUUGAGAGAGAAAUACCCUAACGACCCUGAUGUGCAGAAAUGGAAUGAAAUAUACUGCAAAAGAUACUAUGAUCUUCUCAUUCAACAUAUUUGGAAUCCAGACGAAUUUCAAAUACUUCAAGAAGAGAACACUAGAUUAAAACAAGAAUUACAGACUUUAAAACAAAGUACUUCUAAAACAAUGACGUCGUCCAUAUCAAAACAAACGAAAUAUGAUAAAAUUAGAAAAAAUAUUCAACAAUCAUAUUCAGAAGAAAGAAGGUUAACUUGCGACUGUGAUUACUCUGGAGAACCAACGAUUGAUUUAUGUAUUAAAGCUUUGGGAACGUAUGACAAAUUGAUCAGCUCUGAUAAACGGAAUGUAGUUUUAAAUUCUGCGAACAAAGGACAUGUUUUAAAAGAUUUAAAAAAACUUUCAAGAAAGGAAAAGAAAGGAUUUAUGGAUAUACUAAAAAAUCAUGGUUUCGUUUAUUCAUUAUCACAUUGCAAAUUUUUAAUACGUUUAUAUGAUUUUGCAAUGACUCAUAAUAAAAUAUUACAUUGUGCUUUAUCUAUUGAGUAUAUUUGUCAAAAUUUUACAAUCAUUAAGAAAAUCUUUCAAGAAUUGACUUGGUGAAUACAAAUAAGUCACUCAACCGAGGGAUUAUAUUAUAAUC